rnacentral:lncRNA from 8 species
GUCUGUCUCUCCCUCUAUCUCUCUCCCUCUGUCUGUCUCGUUCUGUUACUCUCUCCUUCUGUCUCUCUCUAUCUCUCCCUCUAUCUAUCUCUCCCUCUGUCUGUCUCUCUAUCUCUCCCUCUGUCUGUCUCUCCCUCUAUCUAUAUCUCCCUCUGUCUGUCUCCUUCUCUGGCUGUCUCCCUCUGUCUGUCUCUCCCUCUAUCUAUAUCUCCCUCUAUCUAUAUCUCCCUCUGUCUGUCUCCCUCUAUCUAUAUCUCCCUCUGUCUGUCUCCUUCUCUGUCUGUCUCCUUCUCUGUCUGUCUCCCUCUGUCUAUCUCUCCCUCUGUCAAUCUCUCCCUUUGUCUGUCUCCUUCUCUGUCUGUCUCCCUCUGUCUGUCUCUUCCUCUGUCUAUCUCUCCCUCUAUCUCUCCCUCUGUCUGUCUCUCCCUCUAUCUAUAUCUCCCUCUGUCUGUCUCCUUCUCUGUCUGUCUCCCUCUGUCUGUCUCCCUCUGUCUGUCUCUCCCUCUAUCUAUAUCUCCCUCUGUCUGUCUCCUUCUCUGUCUGUCUCCCUCUGUCUGUCUCCCUCUGUCUGUCUCUCCCUCUAUCUAUAUCUCCCUCUGUCUGUCUCCUUCUCUGUCUGUCUCCCUCUGUCUGUCUCUUCCUCUGUCUAUCUCUCCCUCUGUCUGUCUCUCCCUCUAUCUAUAUCUCCCUCUGUCUGUCUCUUCCUCUGUCUAUCUCUCCCUAUGUCUGUCCCAUUCUCUGUCUGUCUCCUUCUCUGUCUGUCUCCCUCUCUCUGUCUCUCCCUCUGGCUGUCUCUCCCUCUGUCUGUCUCUCCCUCUGUCUGUCUGUCUCUCCCUCUGUCUGUCUGUCUCUCCCUCUGUCUGUCUGUCUCCCUCUCUGUUUGUCUGUCUCUGUCUCUGUCUCUCUCUGUCUCUCCCUCUGUCUCUCCCUCCCUCUGUCUGUCUGUCUGUCUGUCUGUGUCUGUCUGUCUGUCUGUCUGUCUGUCUGUCUGUCUGUCUGUCUGUCUGUCUGUCUGUCUGUCUGUCUGUCUCCUUCUCUGUCGUCUCCCUCUGUCUGUCUCUGUCUGUUACUCUCUCCUUCUGUCUCUCUCUGACUAUUUGCUUGAGAAUGAAAAAGGUUCUAUUCUAAAAGUAGAAGAACGAGUUAAAUUAUACGAAUGACUGUGACCACGUAAAC